UACGUAGGGUGCGAGCGUUAAUCGGAAUUACUGGGCGUAAAGCGUGCGCAGGCGGUUUUGUAAGCCAGGUGUGAAAUCCCCGGGCUCAACCUGGGAAUGGCAUUUGGGACUGGCAAGGCUGGAGUGCGGCAGAGGAGACUGGAAUUCCUGGUGUAGCAGUGAAAUGCGUAGAUAUCAGGAGGAACACCGGUGGCGAAGGCGGGUCUCCGUGGG
rnacentral:rRNA from 1 species